rnacentral:rRNA from 1 species
UACGUAGGGGGCAAGCGUUGUCCGGAAUCAUUGGGCGUAAAGCGCGUGUAGGCGGUUCGGUAAGUCAGCUGUGAAAGUCCAGGGCUCAACCCUGGGAUGCCGGUGGAUACUGUCGGACUAGAGUACGGAAGAGGCGAGUGGAAUUCCCGGUGUAGCGGUGAAAUGCGUAGAUAUCUGGAGGAACACCGAUGGCGAAGGCGGCAUCCUGGACCGGCAUUGACGCUGAGGCGCGAAAGCCAGGGGAGCAAACGGG